AGCUCCAAUAGCGUAUAUUAAAGUUGUUGCAGUUAAAAGCUCGUAGUUGGAUUUCUGGGAGGGCGCCAAUGUCCGUUCUGAAACGUGUUGCAGCGGCGCCCUUCCAUCCUUCUGUUAACGCCUCUCGGUAUUCAUUUGCUGGUGGCGGGCUCAGAUAUUUUACCUUGAGAAAAUUAGAGUGUUUCAGGCAGGCUAAUGCUGGAAUAUAUUAGCAUGGAAUAAUGGAAUAGGACUACGGUCUCUUUGUUGGUUUGAGGGACAGCAGUAAUGAUUAAUAGGGAUAGUUGGGGGCAUUAGUAUUCGACUGUCAGAGGUGGAAUUCUCAGAUUUGUUGAAGACUAACUUAUGCGAAAGCAUUUGCCAAGGAUGUUUUCA
rnacentral:rRNA from 1 species